rnacentral:lncRNA from 1 species
CUUCACAAAAAAAGACAUGUGAAAUCUGAGCCUUCAACAUGUGAAAAGCCAAUGCAAAUGAAUCCUAACCAAAGGAGAUCUAUAAUUUCUCUCUAGGUAUCCAUUAUAGCAGAGAAGACCGUUUAAAAGAGGCAACAUCGAGAUCUCUCACUGCCAAAGGCUACUGAAUAGAAUAUACUUGCAAAUGGACCUAUUUUCUCUUCUUUACUUUGAAAUGUAAGUUUCUUGAAAGCAGCUUUGGUUUCAUUCUUGGUAUUCCUGUCUCCAACCCCAAUUAGCCCUGGUACUUAGUAGGUCUAUAAUAAUGCUUGCUUGCUUGGUAGAUAUAGAAGUCCUAUAGCUUGGGUUCAAGUCUGGGUUCUGAAACCUAUUAACUUUGUCACCUUGGG